AAAAAAGUCCAAAUCAAAGAUUUUAUAUUUUCGUAUUAUUUAAAUUGCAAUUGUAUUAAACAUCUUUUGAUUUUUCACAAGCUAUAAUGGAAGAACAAAAUUUUCAAUGGAAAAUUAUUGGAUUAUGGUGUAGGCUUAGCAAGGAUGAUAGCCGAACUACAAAAAUAUUAUAUACUUUAUUCUCUCUCUGUCUCUCUCUAUUUCUCUCUCUCUCUCUCUCUCUCUCUCUCUCU
rnacentral:lncRNA from 1 species